rnacentral:rRNA from 1 species
GGACGAACGCUGGCGGCGUGCCUAACACAUGCAAGUCGAGCGAGGAGAUCCUUCGGGAUGAUCCUAGCGGCGGACGGGUGAGUAACACGUGGGCAACCUGCCUCAUAGAGAGGAAUAGCCUUCCGAAAGGGAGAUUAAUACCUCAUAACAUUGCAGUUUCGCAUGGAACAGCAAUUAAAGGAGUAAUCCGCUAUGAGAUGGGCCCGCGGCGCAUUAGCUAGUUGGUGAGGUAACGGCUCACCAAGGCGACGAUGCGUAGCCGACCUGAGAGGGUGAUCGGCCACAUUGGGACUGAGACACGGCCCAGACUCCUACGGGAGGCAGCAGUGGGGAAUAUUGCACAAUGGGGGAAACCCUGAUGCAGCCAACGCCGCGUGAGUGAUGACGGCCUUCGGGUUGUAAAGCUCUGUCUUCAGGGACGAUAAUGACGGUACCUGAGGAGGAAGCCACGGCUAACUACGUGCCAGCAGCAGC